rnacentral:rRNA from 1 species
CCUACGGGGGGCAGCAGUGGGGAAUAUUGCACAAUGGGCGCAAGCCUGAUGCAGCCAUGCCGCGUGUGUGAAGAAGGCCUUCGGGUUGUAAAGCACUUUCAGCGAGGAGGAAGGGUUCAGUGUUAAUAGCACUGUUAAUUGACGUUACUCGCAGAAGAAGCACCGGCUAACUCCGUGCCAGCAGCCGCGGUAAUACGGAGGGUGCAAGCGUUAAUCGGAAUUACUGGGCGUAAAGCGCACGCAGGCGGUUUGUUAAGUCAGAUGUGAAAUCCCCGCGCUUAACGUGGGAACUGCAUUUGAAACUGGCAAGCUAGAGUCUUGUAGAGGGGGGUAGAAUUCCAGGUGUAGCGGUGAAAUGCGUAGAGAUCUGGAGGAAUACCGGUGGCGAAGGCGGCCCCCUGGACAAAGACUGACGCUAAGGUGCGAAAGCGUGGGGAGCA